ensembl:lncRNA
GUCCAUCUCCUCAGAACCACAUGAGUUCUGGAGUUUGUCCUGCCUGAAAGGAGGUUUUUCCAUUCCUGCAGCAUCAAACCAUCGUGUUUACGCGGUCCAUCCAGCUGGACGGACCAGAACUCUGCCAGGAUUUCCUCCUUCAGCUGCUCCUCAGUGAGGAACGUAACCUUCUGCUUCUCCCCCCCCUGCAGCAGAGUCCUUCUCCAGCAAAGGGAAGUACCUGAAGCGGAUCCGCUACCACGGCAGGGGCAUGUUCGGCAUCAUGGACAGAGUUUACUGCCACUACUUUGUAAAACUGGUGGAAGGGCCGCCGCCCAGAACGGAGCAGAAGACGGGCUUGGACCAGGCCAAGGAGUACGUUCAGAUGCUGAAGGAUCGGACCGUCAUCCACAGCCUGUAGAUCUGUUCAAAUGUUGUAGCGUUGUGUCUUAUCUGUAAAUAAACGGCAGCAGAAAACAACCUGAGCAGCCUUUCAUUGCAAAUCACCGUCUGAGGUGAUCAGAUUCUGCACCAUCAUGCAGAGCAGCUGUGUCUGUGGUGGACUUUCUGCAGUCCUUAUCCUGCAGAACCUUUGCUGGGUUUAAGGAUUUGUAGUUGAUUUAUGCUCCAAUCACAGGUGACACUCAUGUUCCAGAACAUAUGAGGCUCAGGAUGAUGGACCACGAGGAUUUGGAUGCAGAGUGUCAUCCUUUACGGUCGUGUCUAACCCAGAGGAUCGAAGCUGAAACCUCCCAGAGGUUCUGCUCCAGGCCACCUUCUGAUUUUGUGACCCACAUGACCAUAACGUCACGUUUUCUUGGACUGAAAGCAGCAGCCGUUCAGCCGCAGUCUCCUCUAAAUCCUCCACGCUGUCAGCAUCGCUCUUCCUCCUCAAACACGGCAGCAGACUGGGUCGUCCGCUCUGCUUCUGAUUCUGCUAAUAAAUUGAACGGAGAGGCAAACAAAACAAGCCCAGGAGAGCAAAGGCAGGAGGAGAGGAGAACAUUUCUAUUUUCCAGAGGUCAGUGUGUCUGAUUGUUCUGCAGCCCGGAGCUUCAUUCUCCGCCGAUCCUAAUUGGCCUUCAGCUUCCUGUGUUUGAUGUGGUCGGUCCAGCGCCGGUUCCCGCCUGUCGCUAAGGCUCUCGUCAGUUUUUUCAGAUAAAAUGCCAUCUGCUGGCCUCAAUUUCAGCAGACGUGUGCCCCCAAUCUGAGCGGGGGAGGGGGAGGGCUCCAUCUCCCAUCGUCUGGCUCAAAACUCGUCUCAGCUCAACUUUAGGAUCUGGCUGUGGGUCAGUGGGUUGAGCCUUCUGCCUUUUGUUAGUUGGGUUCAGAUAGUCGGAUCUCAGGUUGACGUCCCACUCCGAUGGUUCCAGUGGUCUUUUAACUAUGAUGAUGCACUUUUUAGCCAAAAUCUAAACAGCUGUCGUUUUCUGCAGAGCAGCAGGAGUUCAUCAGAUAUUCACCUCUGAGCUAUGCUCUCAAUUGCUAAGAACUGUCUGUCAACACUCCCACUAGCCUACAGCCCCUCAUAAACUCAACUUAACAUUAGCGUUGCAUCAAAAAUGGAGCAACAUCAGAUCCAUCCAUCCGUCCGGUUUAGAUCCAGAUUCCAGCUCAGACCAGGACAACAAAGACAUUCAUGGAUCUGUUGGUCUGACAGUGGAUCCAUCAGAAUGGAGCAGAGCAGGGAGACUGUGACCCCCCCAG